rnacentral:rRNA from 2 species
AUUAGACGAAUCAUCUGGAAAGAUGAAUCAAAGAAGGUAAUAAUCCUGUAGUCGAAAAUGUUGUCUCUCUUGAGUGGAUCCUGAGUACGACGGAGCACGUGAAAUUCCGUCGGAAUCUGGGAGGACCAUCUCCUAAGGCUAAAUACUCUCUAGUGACCGAUAGUGAACCAGUACCGUGAGGGAAAGGUGAAAAGCACCCCGGAAGGGGAGUGAAAUAGAACCUGAAACCGUGUGCUUACAAGUAGUCAGAGCCCGUUAAUGGGUGAUGGCGUGCCUUUUGUAGAAUGAACCGGCGAGUUACGAUUUGAUGCAAGGUUAAGCAGUAAAUGUGGAGCCGUAGCGAAAGCGAGUCUGAAUAGGGCGUUUAGUAUUUGGUCGUAGACCCGAAACCAGGUGAUCUACCCUUGGUCAGGUUGAAGUUCAGGUAACACUGAAUGGAGGACCGAACCGACUUACGUUGAAAAGUGAGCGGAUGAACUGAGGGUAGCGGAGAAAUUCCAAUCGAACCUGGAGAUAGCUGGUUCUCUCCGAAAUAGCUUUAGGGCUAGCCUCAAGUGAUGAUUAUUGGAGGUAGAGCACUGUUUGGACGAGGGGCCCCUCUCGGGUUACCGAAUUCAGACAAACUCCGAAUGCCAAUUAAUUUAACUUGGGAGUCAGAACAUGGGUGAUAAGGUCCGUGUUCGAAAGGGAAACAGCCCAGACCACCAGCUAAGGUCCCAAAAUAUAUGUUAAGUGGAAAAGGAUGUGGCGUUGCCCAGACAACUAGGAUGUUGGCUUAGAAGCAGCCAUCAUUUAAAGAGUGCGUAAUAGCUCACUAGUCGAGUGACACUGCGCCGAAAAUGUACCGGGGCUAAACAUAUUACCGAAGCUGUGGAUUGUCCUUUGGACAAUGGUAGGAGAGCGUUCUAAGGGCGUUGAAGCAUGAUCGUAAGGACAUGUGGAGCGCUUAGAAGUGAGAAUGCCGGUGUGAGUAGCGAAAGACGGGUGAGAAUCCCGUCCACCGAUUGACUAAGGUUUCCAGAGGAAGGCUCGUCCGCUCUGGGUUAGUCGGGUCCUAAGCUGAGGCCGACAGGCGUAGGCGAUGGAUAACAGGUUGAUAUUCCUGUACCACCUAUAAUCGUUUUAAUCGAUGGGGGGACGCAGUAGGAUAGGCGAAGCGUGCGAUUGGAUUGCACGUCUAAGCAGUAAGGCUGAGUAUUAGGCAAAUCCGGUACUCGUUAAGGCUGAGCUGUGAUGGGGAGAAGACAUUGUGUCUUCGAGUCGUUGAUUUCACACUGCCGAGAAAAGCCUCUAGAUAGAAAAUAGGUGCCCGUACCGCAAACCGACACAGGUAGUCAAGAUGAGAAUUCUAAGGUGAGCGAGCGAACUCUCGUUAAGGAACUCGGCAAAAUGACCCCGUAACUUCGGGAGAAGGGGUGCUCUUUAGGGUUAACGCCCAGAAGAGCCGCAGUGAAUAGGCCCAAGCGACUGUUUAUCAAAAACACAGGUCUCUGCUAAACCGUAAGGUGAUGUAUAGGGGCUGACGCCUGCCCGGUGCUGGAAGGUUAAGAGGAGUGGUUAGCUUCUGCGAAGCUACGAAUCGAAGCCCCAGUAAACGGCGGCCGUAACUAUAACGGUCCUAAGGUAGCGAAAUUCCUUGUCGGGUAAGUUCCGACCCGCACGAAAGGCGUAACGAUUUGGGCACUGUCUCAACGAGAGACUCGGUGAAAUCAUAGUACCUGUGAAGAUGCAGGUUACCCGCGACAGGACGGAAAGACCCCGUGGAGCUUUACUGUAGCCUGAUAUUGAAAUUCGGCACAGCUUGUACAGGAUAGGUAGGAGCCUUUGAAACGUGAGCGCUAGCUUACGUGGAGGCGCUGGUGGGAUACUACCCUAGCUGUGUUGGCUUUCUAACCCGCACCACUUAUCGUGGUGGGAGACAGUGUCAGGCGGGCAGUUUGACUGGGGCGGUCGCCUCCUAAAAGGUAACGGAGGCGCUCAAAGGUUCCCUCAGAAUGGUUGGAAAUCAUUCAUAGAGUGUAAAGGCAUAAGGGAGCUUGACUGCGAGACCUACAAGUCGAGCAGGGUCGAAAGACGGACUUAGUGAUCCGGUGGUUCCGCAUGGAAGGGCCAUCGCUCAACGGAUAAAAGCUACCCCGGGGAUAACAGGCUUAUCUCCCCCAAGAGUUCACAUCGACGGGGAGGUUUGGCACCUCGAUGUCGGCUCAUCGCAUCCUGGGGCUGUAGUCGGUCCCAAGGGUUGGGCUGUUCGCCCAUUAAAGCGGUACGCGAGCUGGGUUCAGAACGUCGUGAGACAGUUCGGUCCCUAUCCGUCGUGGGCGUAGGAAAUUUGAGAGGAGCUGUCCUUAGUACGAGAGGACCGGGAUGGACAUACCUCUGGUGUACCAGUUGUCGUGCCAACGGCAUAGCUGGGUAGCUAUGUGUGGACGGGAUAAGUGCUGAAAGCAUCUAAGCAUGAAGCCCCCCUCAAGAUGAGAUUUCCCAACUUCGGUUAUAAGAUCCCUCAAAGAUGAUGAGGUUAAUAGGUUCGAGGUGGAAGCAUGGUGACAUGUGGAGCUGACGAAUACUAAUCGAUCGAAGACUUAAUCAA